GGGACGAGGAAGGUGGGGGGGUCCCCGCUGCCCCGGCGCCCCGCCUCCUCCAAUCAGCGGCCAGGCUGGCGGGCAGGGGUUAACCAGGGGACCCCGCGUCGGCGGAGGAGGCCGCCGCCUCGCCGGGCGGCUGAGGGCGGACGCACGGGCGGCGCCGGCGACCGGCCGCUCGGAGCCCGACCAGGGCCGGAGUCCGGGAGCCCCCGCCGCCUUCCGUGGGCUACCGGCCCCCGCUCGCGGGACCGGCCCGGCCGAGGCGGUUGAGCCGGCGUCCUGGGCCGCGGACCGGCUGGAGGGGCCUCGCCGCCUGGGCCGGGCGCUCCCAGAUCCGCCUCGCCGAACCCCGCUCCCGUCUAGUCCCACGUCUCCACGAGUUUGGGUGAGAACGGGGCUCGCUCUACCCGGGGAUUGAUCUUAGAGGAAGAAAGCCCGUGAGCCGGCGGACCCCGCCCGAACUUCCUCGGAGACGCCCAGUUAGUGUGUGAAGAUGAUUUAAGGAAUACAAGUAAUUCACAAGGGGAAAAUUCAGACAAUGAACAACAGCCUUGAACUUUUCCAGGAGGUUCCCCGUCUGAAAACGCCAGCACACCUAAUUCCAUGAGUUGCUUUAAUGAAAACCGAAAACAGUGAUGGGAAAUGGCUUGUCGCCAUGCCUGACCUACAGUAGGCGUUGAGUCGACGUUUUCUCUCUUCUCCCCAUUCCUAACAAAAGGAGAAAGUGGUUGGUAUCCGUGAUCCUGCACGACAAGUUUUUAAAAUCCAGAUCCCAGCCUUUGUCAAAAUCUGCCAGUCAUUCUCCUGUCUCUGUGUUUGUCGUGGCCUCCUCCCGCCCAACUUGCUUCACAAACUUCUCUUGAGCAAGUGCCCUUGACACCGAUUGCUUUAUUUAUCAAGUCAUGCAUUCUUCCCCACAGCGCGCUGACGGGCAGCGGGGAGCAAUCUUCUUCUCCUGGAGAGUACCUCCCAUUUCUAAUGUCCUCUUCCAACUCCCUCCCUGAAAGUUAUUUUUUUAAUAAAUGUCUUUUCCCUGCA